rnacentral:rRNA from 1 species
GAUGAACGCUGGCGGCGUGCCUAAUACAUGCAAGUCGAGCGAACAGACGAGGAGCUUGCUCCUCUGACGUUAGCGGCGGACGGGUGAGUAACACGUGGAUAACCUACCUAUAAGACUGGCAUAACUUCGGGAAACCGGAGCUAAUACCGGAUAAUAUAUUGAACCGCAUGGUUCAAUAGUGAAAGACGGUUUUGCUGUCACUUAUAGAUGGAUCCGCGCCGCAUUAGCUAGUUGGUAAGGUAACGGCUUACCAAGGCAACGAUGCGUAGCCGACCUGAGAGGGUGAUCGGCCACACUGGAACUGAGACACGGUCCAGACUCCUACGGGAGGCAGCAGUAGGGAAUCUUCCGCAAUGGGCGAAAGCCUGACGGAGCAACGCCGCGUGAGUGAUGAAGGUCUUCGGAUCGUAAAACUCUGUUAUUAGGGAAGAACAAAUGUGUAAGUAACUAUGCACGUCUUGACGGUACCUAAUCAGAAAGCCACGGCUAACUACGU